rnacentral:rRNA from 1 species
AUUGAACGCUGGCGGCAUGCUUUACACAUGCAAGUCGAACGGUAACAGGCCUUCGGGUGCUGCCGAGUGGCGAACGGGGGAGUAAUGCAUCGGAACGUACCCAGAGGUGGGGGAUAAUGCAGCGAAAGCUGUGCUAACACCGCAUGUUAUCUGAGGAUGAAAGCGGGGGACCGAGCAGCAAUGUUUGGCCUCGCGCCUUUGGAGCGGCCGAUGUCGGAUUAGCUAGUUGGUGGGGUAAAGGCCUACCAAGGCGACGAUCCGUAGCUGGUCUGAGAGGACGACCAGCCACACUGGAACUGAGACACGGCCCAGACUCCUACGGGAGGCAGCAGUGGGGAAUUUUGGACAAUGGGCGCAAGCCUGAUCCAGCCAUGCCGCGUGCGGGAAGAAGGCCUUCGGGUUGUAAACCGCUUUUGGCAGGAACGAAACGGUGUCCGCUAAUACCGGGCGCUAAUGACGGUACCUGCAGAAUAAGCACCGGCUAACUACGUG